rnacentral:snRNA from 1 species
GUGCUCACUUCGGCAGCCCAUAUACUAAAAUUGGAGCUUUGCAGAGAUUCAUGGGCCCCGUGCCAGGGUGACACGCACAUUCCUGAAGCACUGCGUAGUUUU